GACGAACGCUGGCGGCGUGCUUAACACAUGCAAGUCGAACGGUGAAGGUGGGAGCUUGCUCCUGCUGGAUCAGUGGCGAACGGGUGAGUAACACGUGAGUAACCUGCCCUUGACUCUGGGAUAAGCGUUGGAAACGACGUCUAAUACCGGAUACGAGCUUCAGCCGCAUGGCUAGGAGUUGGAAAGAUUUUUCGGUCAAGGAUGGACUCGCGGCCUAUCAGCUUGUUGGUGAGGUAAUGGCUCACCAAGGCGACGACGGGUAGCCGGCCUGAGAGGGUGACCGGCCACACUGGGACUGAGACACGGCCCAGACUCCUACGGGAGGCAGCAGUGGGGAAUAUUGCACAAUGGGCGCAAGCCUGAUGCAGCAACGCCGCGUGAGGGACGACGGCCUUCGGGUUGUAAACCUCUUUUAGCAGGGAAGAAGCGCAAGUGACGGUACCUGCAGAAAAAGCACCGGCUAACUACGUGCCAGCCGCCGCCGUAACAC
rnacentral:rRNA from 1 species